GAAAAAAAUCAAUCCUAUGAUAACUACCAUUCAUUCAAGACCUACUAUUUUCCAAUUACUCUGCCAAGUGCCUCAUUCCUGUUACAUUUAUUCCAACAGUCCCACAGGAUGGGGCUUAUCAGACAUAUUUUGCAGCUGAAGAACUUGUAAUUUUCUCAAGUUCACAUGGCUGAUAAGUCGCAGUGCCAGGACUCAAUCCCUGGUUAUAUUUGGCUGGGCCUCACACUUUUCCAUUCCUCCAGCCUGAGGCAACCUUCUGGCUCUUAAUUUUCUAUCCUUCUCACUACUCCAAGGUGUAUCACAGGUCAUUAAAAACCCAAACGCUUUAGCCACGUGCUAAAAGCAGUCCUGAAGAAGGAAGGUGAAUGUGAGAAUAAAGCACGAUUUGGGGGUUAUGUGUGAGGCUCCUCUUGUCCCCGCAUUUGUCUGCAUUAUAGCCCUUGUCUCCUGAGUGUUCCCCAGUGUGCCCUCCGGUCCAAAUUGGAACCUCGUUUGCUAACCAGCUCUCCACUGUGUCUGCUGGAUGCUGCACCCAGCUUCCGGCGAUCCAGAUAGUCCUGAAUCACCUGCCCUCCCCUAAGAGCCUUUCAGCUCCCUUUAGGGGGACCUUGGAGGUCCCAACCCUCAGUGGAACCAUAGCCAGCGGAGUUUAGAUACUGGAUUACCACAGCCCACCCCCCCCAAUCCCUACAACAAUAAGGAAGUGUAUCCCAAAUAAACAGGUGUUUAGACUCUUACAGAAUAGACGGUUCUCAGCAUGUAACUGAGGUUAGAUGGGGGUCUUGUAAAUAGCACAGAUAUUGUCAGUAGGGUUUUGCAGGAGUGUGGAGUCUGAGACUGGCACUGAACAUACACCGAGGACUGAACUCACAUAGUUGGUCGUCAGCAAUCAAAGCCUCCCUCGUAAUUGGUUAACUGUGGAAAUCACUGGGCAGCAAACAUCUACUGAGACUGAAUUCCUCAGAACCUAGAGCUUUCCUAAGUGGGGGAUAAAUGGUUUCUUGACAGACAUACUAUCUUGGAACAGCAAACACUAAAAUAAUUUGCCAUUCUUCUGCUGCCUCUUAUGUCAGUACUCGCCCCAGAGGAAAAUGCUGGUUUGUCUUUGUGCCUAAUGACAUCUGUCCAAGUGUCCUGCGAGUUCAGUCAUGCUAAGGAUUGCCCAGUCUCCCAAGUUUUGAUCAUGCUUCCAUAAAGAGACCCUUCUCAUCCUAUAGAGAGUCUAGAACUCGUUUAAAAGCCUUGGCAGGUUUGCUGUCAGGAUCAGCCAUCAAUCACUUUAUCUGAUUAAUGCACAGCUACUAUCUUUGUGGUGAGAUGUAUUCAAAUAUUUUAAUAACAAUGGUAAUAGUACAUAUGUUCUUAUAAAGACUUCUAACAAUACACAUAAAUUACAGUCUCCCCUCUCCUCAAAAUUCAGCCUCCUCCUCAGAGGUAAUCACAAUGAACAAUCGGAUGUGUGUCAUUUUAAAGCUGACUUGAGGCUUUUUCUUAUGUAGAUGUGCUAUAAAAAUAUAUUGAAUUUUUAAGAUUUGUCAUUAACAAUGUAUAUAUUAUUCUGCCUCUUGUCCUUGAUGUAAUAAAAUGAACACAAGGUAUUUCCAUGACAGGACAUACAGACCCACCACACUCUUAACUGAUCCCUAGAAUUCUUUUUUCUUUUAAAAUAGGUUUAUUGAAGUAUACAAAAUUCAGUUCAUACUUAACAUGUGUGGUCGGAUGAGUUUGGACAUAUGUAUACAUCUGUGGACUCAUCAUCACAAUCAAGACCUCUUGGCCUAUUGAAGGAGACCUCGUCAGGGAGAAGACAGGAGCAAUCAGGGCAGUGCAAGUCUUGAUUACACAGAGACGUUAAUCAUGUAUUAUUGGCAACUCCAAUCAUCUAGUCCCAAGCCCUUCCCCCCAAAAAAAGAACAGGACUGAAAUCAACAUCUUUGAACAUGAAAUCUUGGGCAAAGGUGCAUGCUUUCUCAUAGGAAAGAUGUAGCAAAGUACAAGCCUGAUGUAAGCGGGUGAGUGUGAAGAUUGGGAAGUUUUAACAAGUAUUGCUGAACUUCUGCUCCAAAAGUGCUCUACCACUUCAUGGUCUGACCAGUGAAUGUGUGUGACUGCCUUACAUCCUCCGAGGAAUUUUUUUCAUCACACUUUGAAACUUUGGGGUGAAAGAUGGUCUCAGUAUUGUUUUACUUUUAUUUCCUUUUUUUCUAAAAAGGUUGAAUAUAAAAUUCAGUGACUCCCUUAGAGUGGCACUUCUGCAUUAAUGUCUUGAGUGCCUGGAUUUUUCUCAGCAUACUUUUAUAUUUUGAAAAAGACAUUCCUCCUUUACUUAUAAAAGCAAGGACUUCACAGAAGGAUCAGUUGCUGAGCCGUGGAGCGAGGCAGGACACCCUUAGCUAAUGAGGGUUGGAGGUCAAAGCAAUUGCGAGGGCCCAUAAGGGAGAGAGAGACCAUGUGUAAAACCUCAUCUAGAGAGCCCAGAGCAGGCUGGUGGUCAGCAUUCUGGAUCGAGAGUUGAGCACAAAGUGGGCAAAGAACCAUAAGGACAAGAGCGAGGAAUGUGGGCAGUGGGUCCAAGAAUUUCUGUUAGUAGGCUUGGCAAAUCUCUGAAUUGCCACCACCAGCUGAAGUUGUGAGGUGGUCUCAGUGGGCAGGUCUGCUGGGUGAGAGGACACCCUGCCCUGCCUUUAAAGUCUCCAUGCCCAAAGUCAGGCAGACCACAGAUGGCUUUCCGGCAUCACGCGGUUAUGCUGCCUGCUGGAUCCCGGGAGGGCUACAUCUCUUGGCUGCUGUAGUAGCUCACAGCGUCCUCACCAGUGUUCCAGGCUGGGCAGGUUUGCUAAGUGAUGACAGCUGAGAUGGGCCACAAGUACCAGUGAGCACUGCAAGGGGACUACCACUGCAGGGAGGUGGAACUGAGGGGAGCUAUGCUUCGGCCUAUUGCCUCAGUGAUUCUACAGAUAAAGGGUUGAGUAUGGACAUGUCUGGAAGAGAUGAUCUAGAUGGUAUUUGCAAUUCACACUGUCCUCCCUGGUUCCUGACCUCCUGGCACACCAGAGGCUGGAUGUCCUAUGCCUCUAUCUGGUGGCCUCAUUGCCACCAGCUAUUUCCUAGGGUAAGAGGUUGAUUCAGAAUGCAGACAUUUGUAGGAUGGAUGGAGAAUCUGUGAUGAUGAGACUGUUUAUUAAAUCGACCAUGGGUGACAGGGAUGCAUGGAGUCCAGAGCUAUAUCUAUCUUUCUGGUUAUAAUAACCUAGGCUGGAUGUACUUGAAAAAAAAAAGUCUGUACUAGUCCUUUCCAGGUUAUCACAUGAUCUGUAGCACAAUGUAAAUCACUACUUACUGUGUAGUGUGGGGAGGAUUUGUGUUUCUAAGAAAGUUGCGUUUAUUGCCUAAGUGACAACUGAGUGAGAAUAAUGUACAGUGAACAGGACAGGAAAUAAGGUUU